rfam:Brassica napus, WGS project CCCW01000000 data, contig: 17237
GGAAUAUAAGAACCCGUCUCUUAACUUUUAACUAAAAAAAAUUAAGAACCGGCUCUUAAAAAAAAUUAAGAACCGGUUCUAAAAGCCGGUUCUUAACUUUUUUUAGUUAAAAAUUAAGAGACAAGUUCUUAUAUUCC